CUUCGUCGGCACAUUUUUGUCGAUGUACCGUCGACCUAAUCACACUGAUUACUUCUCACCCUCUUUUCAUCUUCUAACCCUAAUUCCUCCACCACCGUUCAACAAUCCAAUUGCGCCAUCGCCGCCUCCUCACCGUCUUCUCCGAUGUCCGACGACGAUCUCGUCGCCAGUCCAUCCUCGAAUAACAAUUCUCCGUCGCCGUCUCCCUCACCUCCACCGUCUUCUGUAAAGAAUGAACUAGCAACUCUUCCUCCGCCGCCGAUGAUCCCGCCGGCGUCGACUCGUCCGGCUGCAUUUCCGGCUCGAGAGGACUGUUGGUCGGAGGCGGCGACUCAUACUCUGAUCGAAGCGUGGGGUUCUCUCUACGUGGAGCUGAAGCGCGGUAAUCUCCGGCAGAAGCACUGGCAGGAGGUGGCUAACGCCGUUAACAAACUUCACGGCAACACGAAGAAGCAAUUUCGCACCGAUAUACAGUGCAAAAACCGCAUUGAUACAUUGAAGAAGAAGUACAAGAUCGAGAAAGCUAGGGUUUCUCAAUCGCACAGUCGGUAUGUCCCGCAGUGGCCAUUUUUCAACAGCCUCGACGUCCUGAUCGGCGAUAAUUUCAAACCGUCGCCGUUGCCGGUGACGGUCGCUCCUCGACGGAAGACACCUCCGUUGCUUCCUCCUCCAACUUCCGCCGUUCCGGUUGGUCCACGGUCAAAGAGGCCGGCGGCAGUCAUGGAGGACGUCGUUUCCCGGAGAAAUUUCUCUGCUAUGGCUGCAGCUGCAGCUGCUGCUGCCUCCGAGGAUUCAGACGAAGAGGAGGAGUCGGAAACUUCAAGUCCGGCGACAUUUACUGCCAGUGCUCCAAGUAGGAGGAAGGAGAGUGGGGCAUUGACAGAGGGUUGUAGCAGGUUAGCUGAAGCAAUAGGAAGGUUUGCCGAGAUAUACGAACGAGUUGAAGAUGCUAAGCAGAGGCAAAUGGUGGAAUUAGAGAAGCAAAGAAUGCAGUUUGCAAAGGAUUUGGAGAUUCAAAGAAUGAAACUCAUUAUGGAGUCACAAGUUCAGCUUGAAAAGCUUAAACGCGCGAAGAACAGUUCACAAGCUGAUGGUUACUUGUACAAGGAAUGUUGAGUAGAAGAGUGCAUUUUUUCCACGAAUCUUUCGGAGGUGAUACAUAAAUUUUGGUUAAACCUUGCCAAGAGUAUACUAGUUUUAUUGAAGAUGAGAGGUAGAUACUAGUUUUAGGCUUGAGUUUUAAUGUACUUUUUUCUUUGUGACUUUAAAAAGAGUUUGUAACUUAUUUCUGUGUAAAGUGAUUUGCCUAAGCCAGACCCUCAUCCCUGUCUUUGUUACAUUCCGACUUUAAGCUUACUUUCUUUCUUUAUUUCUUGAUUGAUUGAUCUCGUGUGAAUCGGAUCAUGAAGUUCCUGUUUCUA